rnacentral:snoRNA from 1 species
AAUAAUGAUGCUCCUAAGGCAGAAAAAAUAUUAGCAAUAAACCCAGAACAUGUAUUAUUUAAUAAGUUGAGAAGUUCAGUUAAUACAGAAG